UACGGAGGGUGCGAGCGUUGUCCGGAAUCACUGGGCGUAAAGGGCGCGUAGGUGGCGCGGGCAGUCAACGGUGAAAGUUCGGGGCUCAACCCUGAAUCGGCCGUCGAUACUCCCGUGCUUGAGCACUGUAGAGGCAGAUGGAAUUCCGGGUGUAGCGGUGGAAUGCGUAGAGAUCCGGAAGAACACCGGUGGCGAAGGCGGGUCUCUGGGCAACUACUGACGCUGAGGAGCGAAAGCGUGGGGAGCGAACAGG
rnacentral:rRNA from 1 species